AUGGCAGCACCUAGGGCAUCUUGGGACCAUGCAUAUGAGAAAGGUCUUGUUGAUAUAAUGCUUGACCACAACAAUCCCAUCUAUCAAGGUCAAAAUGGGUGGACUACUGAAGGGUGGACUAGCAUUACAAAUACAUUCAAUCAAAAAUUUCCACUAGCUCGUUUCACCAAGCAACAAAUCCAAGAGAAGCAUAAGGAUUUAAAAGGAAAUUAUAAGGCAGUGAGAGACUCUCGGAAACAGAGUGGCACGAGAUGGGAUGGUACACUUUGCAUGAUCAUCGCUGAACCUGUAAUAUGGGAUAAACUUAUCAAGGAUAAUGCAAGGAUAAAGAAGUUACAUUCAAAACCAUUCAUGAUGUUCAAGUCAUUGGCUUCACCACAUGAAGGAAGUGUUGCUUCAGGAGACUUGAACUUUGCAUCGAUUCCGCAAGUGGAUCUCACAAGCGAUGCCAUUUCUCCUAUGGAUUCCUCUACAAUGAUUUGA
rnacentral:rRNA from 1 species